GAAUUCACUAGUGAUUUGGCGGCGUGGNUAAGACAUGCAAGUCGAACGAGAGANUUGCUAGCUUGCUAAUAAUUCUCUAGUGGCGCACGGGUGAGUAACACGUGAGUAACCUGCCCCCGAGAGCGGGAUAGCCCUGGGAAACUGGGAUUAAUACCGCAUAGUAUCGAAAGAUUAAAGCAGCAAUGCGCUUGGGGAUGGGCUCGCGGCCUAUUAGUUAGUUGGUGAGGUAACGGCUCACCAAGGCGAUGACGGGUAGCCGGUCUGAGAGGAUGUCCGGCCACACUGGAACUGAGACACGGUCCAGACACCUACGGGUGGCAGCAGUCGAGAAUCAUUCACAAUGGGGGAAACCCUGAUGGUGCGACGCCGCGUGGGGGAAUGAAGGUCUUCGGAUUGUAAACCCCUGUCAUGUGGGAGCAAAUUAAAAAGAUAGUACCACAAGAGGAAGAGACGGCUAACUCUGUGCCAGCAGCCGCGGUAAUACAGAGGUCUCAAGCGUUGUUCGGAAUCACUGGGCGUAAAGCGUGCGUAGGCUGUUUCGUAAGUCGUGUGUGAAAGGCGCGGGCUCAACCCGCGGACGGCACAUGAUACUGCGAGACUAGAGUAAUGGAGGGGGAACCGGAAUUCACGGUGUAGCAAAUCGAAU
rnacentral:rRNA from 1 species